AUUAUCAAUUUAAACAGGAAAGAAACGACAUAAAGUUUGGUAGCCCUUCUACAUAAUUUGUGGCUGUAGCCUUAAACAAAGUAUACAAAGUCAUAUAAAAUCAUUCUCUAAUUUGCUCAGUUGUUCUUGCUUGGUCUUCGAAACAACGGUUGUUCCUUUCUCUCCAUACACACCAUACAAUGUAUCCCGGAAUAAGGUUCCAUGCAAGCCUACUAUCUUUAUCUCGAAAUUUUCUCCUCCAUGCCCGCAACACAUCCUCCAUACGCCUAGGCAUCACCCAAUCCAUAUGUUGAAAAGCUAGAAUAGUGUUCCACAACCACCGGACAUCUUCACAAUGAAGGAACAAAUGGUCAUUCGUUUCUCUGUCUCUCUUGCACAUAUAAUACCAUUCGGUAACGUAAAAAUCUUUUCUACAAAGAUUAUCCACCGUUAAUGCCUGCCCCCUCACAACCGUCAAUAACAAGAAAGCCACCCGUGGGGACAGUUUACAUUGCCACACCAUCUUCCAAGGAAAUGAAAUCUCCAUCGAUCCCAAUAUAAAUCUAAAAUAAGUGCAAAAUGAGAAAAUACCAUCCCGUGUCAACUUCCAUCUGCUCUUAUCAUCUCCUCCCACUUGAAUAUGCACUUCAUGCAAGGAGGUAAAAAACAGUGCAUAAUCAUCCAGUUCCAAAUCCUGCAAACCCCUCUCGAAGGCAAUAUUCCAGCUAUAAUUUCCAUUAUAUAUGGCUAGGACAUCAUUCACCAUAGCAGUAGGCUGCAAGGCAAUGCAAUGCAAAGAAGGAAACUGUGCCUUUAGGGGAAGAUCUCCACACCAACAAUCAUCCCAAAAUCUGAUACUAUUGCCAUUCCCCGUCACAUAAGCCAAUUUCUCUCGAAAAUCAUUCCAUCCUCGUCGGAUAUACUUCCACAAACUCACCCCAUAAGAUUCACGACCCUCGAUCGAGCACCAACCCCCCUCCAUCAAACCAAACUUCGCUCCUAUGAUUUGUCUCCAAAGACUCUCCCUCUCCACUCCAAAUCGCCACAACCACUUGCCCAAUAAAGCCUUAUUAAAUAGAACAAAGCUCCUCACUCCAAGGCCCCCCCAUCCUAACAAGAGAACAAACCACACCCCAAUUAACCAAAUGAAAUUUCCUCUCUUCCCCUAGCCCUGCCCAAAGAAACUUCCUUUGAAUCCUUUUUAAUCUGUUUGCCACUGUACUAGGGAUAGGAAACAGUGACAGGAAAUAAGUCGGGAGAUUGGACAGAGUAGAUUUAAUGAGAAUAAUUAAAACUAUAACAUACUUGAGAAAACUAUUCAUUUAAUUGUAUUUCCAUGAUACACUAAAUUAUUCGCAUUUAGUUUUAAAUCAUAACACAC
rnacentral:lncRNA from 1 species